UACGUAGGGGGCAAGCGUUGUCCGGAAUCAUUGGGCGUAAAGAGCUCGUAGGCGGUUUGUCGCGUCUGGUGUGAAAAUCCAGGGCUUAACCCUGGACCUGCAUCGGGUACGGGCAGACUAGAGUGCGGUAGGGGAGAUCGGAAUUCCUGGUGUAGCGGUGAAAUGCGCAGAUAUCAGGAGGAACACCGGUGGCGAAGGCGGAUCUCUGGGCCGUAACUGACGCUGAGGAGCGAAAGCAUGGGGAGCGAACAGG
rnacentral:rRNA from 1 species